CGGCGUCCUCCGAGCUUGGACACAUGCCGAGGUCAUGCCCCUUCCCUGCCCGGAGCCUUCCAGGGCCUUCUAGUCCUACCGGAAAACUCGAUUGUGUCCCGAAGCAGCCUCUGCUGGCCGCCCCCGCCCCGCCCGGCGCAGCCCAGCUGCCCACCCAGAAGGACCCCCCUUCCAUGCAGCAUCUGCCUCCCUCUCGAACCCCCUCUUCAGGGGAGCCUUGCUCCGUCUGCACAGGACGGACCCCACGGUGGCCGUAACGGGCCAGCCGGAGGGGUGCUUGUCCCCGCUGUGGGUGACGGGAGUCAGGGCACGAGCCAGCAUUCCAUCCAGACUGGCCGACCUCGGAGUCCCAGCCCUUUGCAGACUGGGAUGUGUUACCAGGAACUGGCUGGCCCUGGAGGGCAUCUGUCCGUCCGCGGGCAGGCCGGCAGCUGGCAGCUCUGUGGGGCCCCCAGCCCAGUGGCAGCUCCGGAUGGACCGGCUGGAGCGAGCUCCCAGGUCAGGAGGUGAGCGUCCUGGACCCGCUGCCCGGGUCAGCCUCCCUGCCGUGUCUCCCACCGCACUUCCCGACUAACUGGUCCCGCCGUAUGAAGACAUGGCCCCGUUUAACAGCAUCGUAAAAUUGAUGGUUUCCAUCAUAAAAUUUCUGGAUCACGGACGUCAGCUGAAGUUUCCCUGCUUCCCAUGAAGGACCUGGGCCAGGGAGGCUUCGUGUCACCCGCCCCCAAAACUAUAACACACGUGAUGGAUGUCCCUGAGUCGUCUCCGUGGUUUUAGAAAGCAAAGCCGGGAGCUCUGCUGUCUUCUAGCCCAGUUUUAACAGAAAUCAAAGAUGUGCUUCCUAUUCCAUCGGCGGCCCACCAGGACAUGACCGGCGUUCAAGACCCGAGGAGGAGCAUCGCUAAGGCCGGCUCAGGAAGCCUCCCCGAGACACAGAGGCCCACGUGGAACAGCUGAUGCCGGGACAGGGCACAUGCUGGCCCCCGCUUCUCCGUGGGGCGUGUGGCUUCUGUGCCUCUAAGUGCAUGGGGUACUCGGAACCCCCUUCCUGUAAGACAGAGGGAGGAUGGUCCGCCUCCAGCCUCCCACCAUCUGCCAUGUAACCAGCCCUGCCCCACAGUGUAGGGAGAGUUCGGGGUGAG
rnacentral:lncRNA from 1 species